rnacentral:rRNA from 1 species
GUCGAACGCUGGCGGCGUGCUUAACACAUGCAAGUCGAACGGAAAGGCCUUUUCGGAGGUACUCGAGUGGCGAACGGGUGAGUAACACGUGGGUGAUCUGCCCUGCACUCUGGGAUAAGCCUGGGAAACUGGGUCUAAUACCGGAUAGGACCGCACUUUAGUGUGUGUGGUGGAAAGUUUUUUCGGUGUAGGAUGAGCCCGCGGCCUAUCAGCUUGUUGGUGGGGUAAUGGCCUACCAAGGCGGCGACGGGUAGCCGGACUGAGAGGUUGGUCGGCCACAUUGGGACUGAGAUACGGCCCAGACUCCUACGGGAGGCAGCAGUGGGGAAUAUUGCACAAUGGGCGCAAGCCUGAUGCAGCGACGCCCCGUGGGGGAUGACCGCCUUCCGGUUGUAAACUCCUUUCGCCAGGGACGAAGCGUUUUGUGACGGUACCUGGAGAAGAAGCACCGGCUAACUACGUGCCAGCAGCCGCGGUAAUACGUAGGGUGCAAGCGUUGUCCGGAAUUACUGGGCGUAAAGAGCUCGUAAGUGGUUUGUCACGUCGUCUGUGAAAUUCCACAGCUUAACUGUGGGCGUGCAGGCGAUACGGGCUGACUUGAGUACUGUAGGGGUAACUGGAAUUCCUGGUGUAGCGGUGAAAUGCGCAGAUAUCAGGAGGAACACCGAUGGCGAAGGCAGGUUACUGGGCACUUACUGACGCUGAGGAGCGAAAGCAUGGGUAGCAAACAUGAUUACACACCCUGGCAGUCCCUGCCGUAAACGGUGGUCGCUAAGUGUAGGGGUCUUUUGGUCGUUUCUGUGCCGUAGCUAACACACUCCGCGCCCCGCGUGGGGAGUCCCGCCGCUAGGCUAAAACUCAUAGGAAUUGACCGCCGCCCGCACAGGAGCCUGAGCAUGUUUACUAUGUCGCACCAACACGCAUAUCCGUACCUGGACUCGCCAUACACCUGAACACAUUCUAUAUCUCGUGUCCCUGUGUGACUGGUGUGCACGUGCUGCACGCCUCUCGUCACGUGAUGAUUUGAGAUAUUGCCUAAACUCGCGCAACGCGUGUCAUAUUUUGUCCUAUGUUUCUUGUGGGGUCUGCUGAGAACUCUUCAGAGAUUCCCCGAGAUAAGUCGGAACCACGUCCUUUCUCCUUCCCCUUAUGUACGGCGCUUCCCUCCUGCCAUGCUGGCCGGGUCUAUUGGCCCGGAACCUGUCAUAGAGAGCUCAUCCCUUCAAACUGGUCCUUCUUCGGAUUGAGGUAGCUCCUCCUCCCCUUUAAGUCAUAGACCCUAUUAAUCUAAUAUCACUCUGCCGUGGGUAAUUCGUUCCCCGGCCU